rnacentral:rRNA from 1 species
AUAGUUUGAUGAUGGCUCAGAGCGAACGUUAGCGGGAGGCUUAACACAUGCAAGUCGAGCGAGAACGUCACUUCGGUGGCUAGUACAGCGGCGGACGGGUGAGUAACACGUGGAUAAUCUGCCCUUUGGCGGGGGACAACAGCUCGAAAGGGUUGCUAAUACCGCAUAAGUCUUCGCAGGCCCCGGUCUGUGGAGGGAAAGAUGGCCUCUUCUUGAAAGCUAUCACCGAAGGAUGAGUCCGCGUAGCAUCAGCUUGUUGGUGGGGUAAUGGCCUACCAAGGCUAAGACGCUUAGCUGGUCUGAGAGGAUGAUCAGCCACACUGGGACUGAGAUACGGCCCAGACUCCUACGGGAGGCAGCAGUGGGGAAUAUUAGACAAUGGGCGCAAGCCUGAUCUAGCCAUCCCGCGUGAGUGAUGAAGGCUUUCGGGUCGUAAAGCUCUGUGGGGAGAGACGAAACGUUGCAGGAACAAUACCCUGUAAUCUGACGGUAUCUCUUUAGCAAGCACCGGCUAACUCCGUGCCAGCAGCCGCGGUAAUACGGAGGGUGCAAACGUUGCUCGGAAUCAUUGGGCGUAAAGCGCGCGUAGGCGGCUUGAUAAGUCGGAUGUGAAAGCCCUCGGCUUAACCGGGGAAGUGCAUUCGAAACUGUCAAGCUUGAGUAUGGGAGAGGAUUGUGGAAUUCCCGGUGUAGAGGUGAAAUUCGUAGAUAUCGGGAGGAACACCAGAGGCGAAGGCGACAAUCUGGACCAAUACUGACGCUGAGGUGCGAAAGCGUGGGGAGCAAAC